rnacentral:rRNA from 1 species
UACGAAGGGUGCAAGCGUUACUCGGAAUUACUGGGCGUAAAGGGCUCGUAGGCGGCCAACUAAGUCAGACGUGAAAUCCCUCGGCUUAACCGGGGAACUGCGUCUGAUACUGGAUGGCUAGAGUUUGGGAGAGGGAUGCGGAAUUCCAGGUGUAGCGGUGAAAUGCGUAGAUAUCUGGAGGAACACCGGUGGCGAAGGCGGCAUCCUGGACCAACACUGACGCUGAGGAGCGAAAGCCAGGGGAGCAAACAGG